CUAUCAUAACAUCAAGACCACAAAAGUACCAUCACUGGGGCAUAAUUGCGCUUUUAUGAGGGUUGGUUUCUCUCUUUGGUUAUCUAGCUGUAUGAGUUAUAACACAUUUCAUAAAGCUAGAUAACCGAAAAUAGAAAUAAUUCUCAAAAUCUUCUGAAACUGCCACUCAAGUCUGAAAGAUGACAGAGCUUAAUCUCAGUGUGCUUAUUUCCACCCACAAUAUGGCAGUGAAGUAACAGCAAGGGCACAGCCAUCCGAGAGAGUGUGAGAGAGAGACUUGGAGGAACAUGGCAGCUUCCAUUUGCUACAUCUUUCCUUCUCCACCUAUGCCAUCUGUGCCCCUGUGGGGUGCUGUAGAGAAUCCAUGCCAGUGCCAGCGGCGACAAAACCCUUGAGUCCCGGCGCCAAGAUAGACGACAUAGGGAGGCCAUCUUGACGGAGACCUUAAACGAGAAGCUAAGAUGGCUGGGCUGGCACAUGAGUCUUUUACAGACUGGGCUGUGGACUUGACUCGGAUACACACACUUGGCUCAUGGGAAGAAAUGAAGGAAAAUCGACUGUAAUUACGCAGCCUGAGAGAACAAUGGGAGAGCACCAAGCAGAAAGUUUAAGAGGCAUAAAAUCAUGAUGAUGAUGAUGAUGGCUGUGUGUGUAAGGAAAAAAAAAAGAGCAAGAGUAUUUUGUAUUGUUUAUUUUUUAAUUAUAGUCUUUAUUAUUACAAAUUAAAAAUGUGUAUUGAUUGAGCCAUUUGAAUAUUUCCAUUACAACCAUGUUUACAGAAGAUGCCCAUUUGUUAUAUAUAUAUAUAUAUAUAUAUAUAUAUAU